rnacentral:RNase_P_RNA from 1 species
ACAGUGCUCCGGUCUGUCGCUGGCACAGUAAUGUGCGAGAGGAAAGUCCGGGCAGCAAAUGGCACUCCACUCCCGAAAAUAGGAGCUGUCGGCGACGGCAGGUAAUGGCAGAAGAAAACAACCGCCCACAUCCUGUGGCAUAAAGUAACAUGAUGAGGGUAAGGGUGAGAAGGUGGUGUAAGAGACCACCAGCUGGCGGGUGACCGUCGGGCUGUGCCGUCUGGAGGCUGCAAGUUCAUGUAAACCGUUGGUUGAGGGCAGCCAGUCCGAAUCCUUUCAGGUACGACGGAGGGUAGAACGCUUGAGCUGCGUGGCAACAUGCAGAGUAGAUAAAUGACAGACGCAGGCAACUGUACAGAACCCGGCUUAUAGGAGCACUGUUUUU